rnacentral:lncRNA from 1 species
CAGUGUGGAAGGGCCAGCACUCAAAUGUCCAAGUUCAGAGGUAGCUCAAGGUCCCAAAACAAGGCUCAUAUGAGGGGGCAGAACUUAGAAUCUAAGAAAGAGUGCAAGUGCAUAGAGGGGAUUUUAGAGAAAAUAAAGACAGACUAGUAGUAGUACUUGUUUGGGAGUUAGGAUCCAUUAAAGGAUCAAGUCCAGACAUGAGCAGCAAUUUGGAUACUGCCAUGCCUGAACUUCAACUCAAACACACAGAAGGGAAUAAGGGUAUGGGGAUUCACAAUAGCAACAUAUGCAAAGAGAACAAUAUAUUCAAUUUUAAACAUAAACAACAAAGUAGACAAGAUUGUAGAAGUUGUAAAGCAAACACAUAGGGAUAAGGCUGAAAACUAAAUUAGAACAUACCAGUUUCAGGGAAACGAGAAGAGAAAAGCAGUAGUAAAGCCAGAUUGCAAACAAACAGCCAGAAGAUCUCAGAAGAGAGUGGAGUGUUGAAUUGAGAGUGUAAGAGUAUUGAAAUUUAAAGUGUUAGUAAGUUAUGUGUGUUCAAAGUGUAGUUGGGUCGUGUCCUUUUAUAGUGUAGGAAACAAGUAGAAAUAGGUAAAAAAUAAUUUUGCAAUCAAUUACAUAGGUUCCCCUUCAAUAAGGGAUUCUGAUUUCAAACGCGUAAAAGACAAUUAAGGAGAGUUUGAUCAAAAGCUUUUCAAAGUAGCACAAGAAGGGUAAAUACACAGAAGUUUAUUUAAGGAAAAAGUCCAGUGGUACACGAUUUGUGAGAAUAAGGAAAGGGAAUCAAUCAAACAACAGUAAAAAAACAAAAUUGCAGGCUUUGUUCGAAUGAACCAAGUCAGGAAAAGUGAGGAAAGGUUUUUACUUAAGGAAAAUCAAUAACAAUCAAUCAAACCGAAAGAGAUUCUGAAUCUAAUUAUGACUUGGAAAGCAUUUUUUGAAAGAAAAAUUCCUCAUAUAUAAAUCAUACAUACAUGUUAAACAAGAAAGAACUUUCAUGCUAAUUAGGAAAUCCUGGAAUAGAAAAGUUUAGAGUCAAAGAAGUUCGAGUUCAGUACAAAGACGCAAACAAAUUCUAAGAAACCUAGAGUUCCAAAAUAGAACCCUAGUCUCAAAGACAAGAUCAAAAAUCGCCAAAAUCCCAAAUCCUAGGGUUUUUGACUCGAGUAAGAUGCAGAGACGAAGAAGCAAAUAAUUGAAACGGGCUUAGAGAUCUCUUUCAGAGACUCAUGAGAGAACAAAUAAAUACAAUUAGCAAGUUCAAGGCAAAUAGAAUGCAGAACUGGUUCGAAACAUAGUGAGACUAGGAGGAAUAUGUUUCAUGAAAACUUAGAACUUAAAUAAGUUCAGAAAAGAAAAGAGGUGAUAUAAGCUUAAGAAAACAGUAGAUGAAACAUGUUUAGAAAGAACUCAAACAAAACCUAGAAGAAGGCAAAUAAAGACCUAAAAGCUUAGUAGAAAAUACAGUAAAGGAACACAGGGGUAAAUGAAACACAUAAGAUAAACGUGUGAAAGCAUGAUAUAGAAAUUAGUAGAAGAAAGAACAGAGCACAAUAGAAGAACAUGCAUAAUAAGGAAAACAUAUGAACACAGGACAAGAACAUGCGAGGUAGGAAAAGAAAACAUACAAACAUAGCAUAGGCAGAUACACACAAAGAAAAGAAGAGGAAGAGUCAAAGAAACAUUUGAAAUUUCUUCAGAAACCCUAAAUCGAAAAGAAGUAAUUUUGUAAGAAGAAAGAUCAAGGAAAGUGUUUUAAAACUCCAGUAGAACACAGAUAUAGCAUAGAUUUAAGCAAAUACCCAGAGAAAAACCUCGAAUAGUCUGAAACCCUAGAAAUGAGAAAGGCUUGGAAGAAUGUCUGAUCUUGAGUUGGAUGAGUUAGAACCUGGCUCGAAAUGCUUUGGAUGUACAAGAGCAAGGCCUCAAAACCAUGGAUUUGAGAAUAUCUAAACGAACACCAUUGAGGUCAGACCUCAAAUCUUUGAACCCCAAACGUUUAAGAGUAGAGGGAGGUGGGUACAGACUAUCCAUGGCUUGAGAAGCCAUGGAUUAGAGUGAGGUUGUGGUCGGAGAGGAUGAGACAGGCUAGGGUUUCGUAGAACCUUCGAGAGAGUUUGAGAGAGGGAGAGUAUUCAAAG